rnacentral:rRNA from 1 species
UACGGAGGGUGCGAGCGUUAUUCGGAAUUACUGGGCGUAAAGCGCGUGUAGGCGGGAGUGCAAGUCUGAUGUGAAAGCCCCGGGCUUAAACUGGGAAGUGCAUUGGAAACUGCAUUUCUUGAGUGCUGGAGAGGAAGGGGGAAUUCCCGGUGUAGAGGUGAAAUUCGUAGAGAUCGGGAGGAAUACCAGUGGCGAAGGCGCCCUUCUGGACGGCAACUGACGCUGAGACGCGAAAGCGUGGGGAGCAAACAGG